rnacentral:rRNA from 1 species
GAUGAACGCUGGCGGCGUGCCUAAUACAUGCAAGUCGAGCGAACGGACGAUAAGCUUGCUUCUCUGAUGUUAGCGGCGGGCGGGUGAGUAACACGUGGAUAACCUACCUAUAAGACUGGGAUAACUUCGGGAAACCGGAGCUAAUACCGGAUAAUAUUUGGAACCGCAUGGUUCAAAAGUGAAAGACGGGCUUGCUGACACUUAUAGAUGGAUCCGCGCUGCAGUAGCUAGUUGGUAAGGUAACGGCUUACCAAGGCAACGAUGCAUAGCCGACCUGAGAGGGUGAUCGGCCACACUGGAACUGAGACACGGUCCAGACUCCUACGGGAGGCAGCAGUAGGGAACCUUCCGCAAAGGGCGAAAGCCUGACGGAGCAACGGCGCGUGAGUGAUGAAGGUCUUCGGAUCGUAAAACUCUGUUAUUAGGGAAGAACAUAUGUGUAAGUAACUGUGCACAUCUUGACGGUACCUAAUCAGAAAGCCACGGCUAACUACGUG